GGACGAACGCUGGCGGCGUGCUUAACACAUGCAAGUCGAGCGGAAAGGCCCUUCGGGUACUCGAGCGGCGAACGGGUGAGUAACACGUGAGUAAUCUGCCCCUAGCUCUGGGAUAGCUCCGGGAAACCGGGAUUAAUACCGGAUACGACCACCUUAGACAUCUUUUGUGGUGGAAAGAAUUUCGGCUAGGGAUGAGCUCGCGGCCUAUCAGCUUGUUGGUGGGUAACGGCCUACCAAGGCGACGACGGGUAG
rnacentral:rRNA from 1 species